UACACGAGAAGACUUUUGUAUGUUUGUCAUUACAUUUUCGGCAUUAUAUAGUUCAUAUCAUCGAUACAACGCCCGUGAAAAGAUAUUCCCGGAUUAAGCUGGUGCUGAGAAGUGAACAGUUAUUACGGAAGUGUGUUUUUAAGCCAAUGAAGGUUGUUGCUGGGGGAUAGUCUUCAGGGACAGAUGAGCAGACUUCCUGUUCAAAUUAACAUUUUAAUGAAUAUACAUCACCAAAAUGUAUUUCCUGUUGUAUUCUUAGUUAUAUAUUUUUAUCAUAUGGAACACUGUGGAUGAGACAUAAACAUAUUAUGUCUUUUAUUACCCGUGAAUGAUAAUACUGAUAAUGAAAUAUGGUAUCUUGCAAAAAGGCAGUUGCCACGUCGCCUUUAUUGGCAGUACUUCACAAUUUACAGCAUUCUUCAUUAGCCGUAAAAAAAAAAAAAAAAAAAAAAAAUGUAUGAGGAAAAUAAGACACCCAUUGCCUAAGAAAGAAAACGAAUAAAAUAACCCACAGAUAGACCCUGAAAUAAAUGCCCCAAUGUUAAAAAUGAAAUGACACGAGAGGGAGAUUCCACACGUCCAUUCUGCGGGUGCAACAAAGGGACCCGUGUUAUGAACUCUGAAUAUAGUGUUAAUUGUGAGUAUUAUAGGCUCAGUGCUAGAUAAUUUGUUCCGUGCUUACGACAACUACAUAUAGGCGACUUUUCUACGGGGAAAUGUUAGCCCAGGUGUCUCGGUAUCCACUGCGUGUCCCUGUGCGGAUUAUGCCAGGGAGCCGCAGACCACAGGCAGUACACCAGGACCGUUUUAUUCAACAAGGUGCAGCUCUCUUAGCUGGAUUAGGUUUGUGCAUCUCAUCAUUUUCCCUGAAGAAGCUCUCAGCCAUGCCACACAAACCAAGACGUCUGAUCUAAAAACUGCAGAUGUAGGCGCUUGACAGAAGUAGUAAUUAUAAAAUUAACUUGUUAUAGUUUGUGAAGUGAAAGUGAAAGGGAUUUAGGUCAGUUGUAUAAACUUGCCCACUGAUCUUUCAAAUGUAUCAGCUAUGUUUUAUUUCCAGCAAUAGCAGCGUAAAUAUCCAACAAUAUUAUUAUUAUUAUUAUUUAUUUAUUAUUAUUAUUUUUUUUUUUACGUACUAUUAAAUCUUGAAUAGAAAGUAUACAAAUGUUAUAGGGAGUCGUAAAGAUUAGCAAUGAGAAAAUCCACCAUAAUAUAGGUUGUAAGUUGUCAUUUUACAUUUUUAGACUGAUGCUACAAAGGAAGAUACAUACAUUCAAAUCCUUUCAAAACUAUUAUCUUCUGUAGUACUGGAUUGUAGACCUUAAAAUAACAUUAUGCUUCAACCUCAGAGGAAUAGCACUUUUUCUUCUUAUAAUUGGUGACAUUUGUAGUGUAUUGUGUAUUAUUUAUAUAUUACUGGUCUGUAAAAUCAUAGCAUUAUGUCCAUUUAGUGUCUAUGAUUGUUUUUAUGGCUAUGGUAAUUAUCACAAAGGUUCACCAAAUGUUAUUUUCAGAUCUAGCAGUAUUUUGUAUGGCUGUAUAAGAAGGUGCUCUUUGAUUUGGUAAAAAUGUGGUAGAGGCAAGGAAACCCAGUCUUUAGGCUUUAUAUAUUUUUCAUUCGACUCCAAAAUUGUGGAUAACUAAAACUUAAUUUCUUUUCUCAAAAUGAAAAAGAAAAAGAAAAAAAGAAGUUAUCUCUUUUUUUAUUGAUUAUUUGUAGAUAUUCUUAGUAUUGAUUUUCUGACUGAGUGACAUCAUGUCAUGAUGACAUAUUAUUGACAUGUUUACAAACUGGCAUAAACAUCAAUUCUCCUUGUUUUUCAUUUAUUUUGGUAACACACAUUAUGCAUUGUAUUGCAUUACUGCUGAUGUAAAUGAAGUUAAUAUCGUUUAUUCAGAUAUCAUUAUGAUUUUUUUUUUUCUUAAGAAAAAUAUUGGCCAUAAAGUCAUUUCCACCUUAAAGGUACAUUAUUAUAGCUUUUCCUGAACUUAUAUUGUAGUUAUUAACUAUUAAAAGUAAUUGCAGACAGAUGUCGACAUAGACAUAGAUUAUUUGCAUUUAAUCAGCAAUAUACUGUUAAGUUCUAGCUAUUAGAUAAAACUCCUAAGCCCUGUACAUUGGUUUACACAGAGGCUUUAGGUGAGAGGAACUGAGGUUAUUUAGGUAUUUUUUAACUAUUUUAUGCUAUUGAUCUUUAUGUAUUAUAAUGUAUGUAUAAUAUUUUUAUUUGAAUUAUAAUGUGUAUAAUAUUUGUGAGUGCAUUAUAGAUGCAGUAAUGUUCAUCUGAUUUUGCAAUUUUAGGUUUAGCAAUCAUAGGCCAUACACAUUUUGUGAUACAUGCUGCUCACAUAUCACAAAUAUAAAUUCUCACAUGUAUAUACCUUGUAGUUCUCUCAUUCUCUUCAUAAGGUGAAUCUUUGGGAAUUAAGGUUAGAUAGUUCUAUUUUUAUACACAGUAAACGCUCAUUCUGUAUCUCAGUUUACCUACUUUUUCCCACGGUUGUGUAACACCAAAAAGGGGAAGUUCUAAUUCUCAAUUAGUAUUACCCUUUGCUAGUCUCUACUUCAUGUGGAUUUCACACUGAACCUGAUUCCAAAGUUGCACCCCAUCUCUUCUUUCAAUGAUGUGUUAUUCUUGAGAUUUGCAACAUACAUCUUCAUUCCCACAUACAUAUAGAAAGGUAUUUGUUAAUAAACAAUGUUAAGGUAA